CCUCUGCCCCGCCCCCGCGGUCAGAUCAGCUUUCGAAGAAGCCGGAACCAAGUCCCAAAGUUGCUGCUCAACUGCUCAACUUGCGGCUGGCCGUGCCCAGGAGAGGUGCGAUAGGUCUAGCCCUAGUACCCCGCAUGCGCUCACUCCUGCGCUGGUCCGCUGAGCCACGACUGCCAGGGACCCCAAGAGCCAGGCCAAUGGGGACACCCGGGGAAGUCAGUGAGGGCAGCCUCUCAGACAGGGUGAUCCCUGCCCUGCUCCCAGGAUCCCCCAGGGUAUAAAAUGCUCAAGUUCUGUGCCAGGGCUUCAAAGCAAUGCCUCCUCGAAGCCUUCUCUGCCACCCAGCUUCCAUCACCCUGAUUCAGGCCUUUUCUUGGCAGAACAACUGCAAAAGAUACAAAACUUAGUUGCUGUUGGCUGGCUGGUUUAAUUCAUUUGCAUAUACAUAAUUCAGUCCCACCCCUCGUGGCUAAUACCCUACUUGGGGAGCUGUGGCUGUUUUCUGAUUGCUGGUAGGAGGCCUAUGUG
ensembl:lncRNA